UCUGCCCCUAGAUCAUUGGCAGGGUGGCUGUUGUGUCUCAUGUGCCUCAGUAGGUGGCAGAGAAGAGUAGCUUACACGUGUAAGCUCAGUGUGGUGGUCUGAGAACAUCUGAACAAUGAAGAGUAUAACACA